rnacentral:rRNA from 1 species
UACGUAGGGACCAAGCGUUGUUCGGAUUUACUGGGCGUAAAGCGUGCGCAGGCGGUCUGUUAAGACCGAUGUGAAAUCCCCGGGCUUAACCUGGGAACUGCAUUGGUGACUGGCAGGCUUUGAGUGUGGCAGAGGGAGGUAGAAUUCCACGUGUAGCAGUGAAAUGCGUAGAGAUGUGGAGGAAUACCGAUGGCGAAGGCAGCCUCCUGGGCCAACACUGACGCUCAUGCACGAAAGCGUGGGGAGCAAACAGG